AUGCAACUAGCGUGUCCGUCUAACCAAGUUUAUUGACUGUUUAUGGAGCAUUUGGUUACAUCAAUCGUAUUAAGUGGACAUGUUCAAUCACAUGCUGGUCGUUACAUCGAACCUGAUUUGUUUUCUGCCGCUAGGUUUUCCAUCUGAUUUCGAAGCCCUUGUGGUACUUCUCGGAUGCGUUUGAUCAUGGCAUUUGGUAUGCCUUUCCUUUGCUUGUGUUGGAUUCACAACCAUUUAUUAAGGUAGUUGGUUUGAAAACUGCGUGUUGUGGGACCCAUCUCUUGUUUUGAGAGGGCAGCAGGUAUUUACAGUGAUAGUCCUUUUUGUUAUGAAGUCUAAGAAGUUCAGAUCAUUCAGAGGGAGGGGGGCAAUCAGUUGGGUGGAGUUGUUUGCUUGGCAAGGCUGACUCGAAGCCAGGAUUGGUGUGCCUAGUGCAUCGUCACUUAUCUCUGUAGGCAUGCUCCGGUCGAUGAGUAACCUCGUAAUCGAGGUGAACAAAAGCUCGUUCAAUCUCCAGUAGCGACUCAAGUUUGUCUUGAAGUGAUUCGCCAAUAUCAUGUGCCUGGCGCAGUGGCGUGUCCGCUGCCAGCACAAUAUCGACUUCUGCAAAGUAAUGUCACCCAAAGGUGUAUGCACGGACGGGGUCAAUUUGAGGCAUCUCCUUGUGAUGAUUCCAGCACAGAUAUGUCAAAUUUGACAAUUUGACAAGAGUGCCAAUUUAUUCUUCUUGUCUUGUUUUAAAAGUGCGUCGAUUAUUUCACUUCUAUUGUUGUGUUUGGAAGGUUGUGGGCUACCUACCUUUAAACAAAUGAAUUAAUUUAUUAAUAUUGAUUUUUUUUUAAUGAAAGUGAAUUACUCUUUUUUGUAGAAAUUUUCAUUUGAUAUUAGAAGUUGUCAAUUAUCUUAGUCUAAUUUAAUUUUUUGAAUUUAUUUGAGUUGUCUGUAGAAAGAAAAAUUAUGAAUGCUACUUUUGGUGGAAGUAAAAAUAGAUUUAUAACUAUUGUAGAUCUUCACAAGCUUCUCAAUACUCUUAGGGUAGAAAUUUUAUAUAUUUUUGAUAUGAAUCAUAAGAUAUUAUUUAUAAAUCCAAAGAAGAAGUUAAUAAUGAAGUUUAAAGUCUACACCAAAAAACUAUGUAAUUAAGAGAAGGAAGUAAAUCAAGUUUACAACUAAAUCGAAGGAGUUUUAUUACUAUAAGUGUAAGGGAAGCAAAGAUAAGUAUGCCCAAGAAGUUUGAUAGAACAAGAUAAAAAAUUUGACGAUUUUUACAAUAAAUAAAAAUUUAAUUUAAAGUUUCACCUUUCUCAAUAUCCUGAUGGAUUUACUCAAGUUGGAUUCAUAGAAGUAGUUCAUUUUAAAAUUAUUUUUUCAUGAUUUAUACCUUUGAUGAAAAAAGAUUCAUGACUAUUCUAUGUUUUGAAUUUAUUUUUGAAGGUGUUUAUGAUUAAAUUUUAAAAAAAUAAUUAAAAAAAGAUUGUAGAAAUCAAGAUCAUAUUUCUACAAUAAGAAUCAUUUUCAAUCACUACAUAUGCUACUAAAUUCAAAAAUCUUGCUUGUGACAUGAAUUGGAAUGAUAAAAUCAUUAACAAUUAAUUUUGAUAUGAAUUGAAAGAUAGUGUCAAAGAUACUGAGAGCAAAUUUAUUAGAAAAAUUUAUUCCUCAAGCCAUUACAUGUGACAAUUGACUAUUUGAAAUAUGCUAAAAAAAAAGAUUUGAUUAAAGAGGUACAUGUAAAGAAAUGGCAACAUCUUCAAAGUUUUUGGAAGCUUACUUAUCUAAACCAAAGCCUAUGCAAACUAAUACAAUAUUUUUUAAACUUCUUAUUGAGCAAAAUAAAAUUGGUUGUUAUUAAGAAGAUUUGUGCGUAUAUUACAAAGAAUCCAAACACACUAUUCAACAUUAUCCAAAAAAGCAAUGCAAUCACAAAUGAAAAGCAUGGUUGCCAAAGAAGAUGAUGUAUUAAAAAAUAAAUUUUUUCAGCUACAAUAAAGACUAUGGAGUUAGAAUCUUCUAUAAUAUUUAAAAAAUAUCUUAGUCUCUUUUUAGAUAUUUUGCCUUGUUUUAUAAUAAAAGUUUAUAUAGAAUCAAAAAAUCACAAAGUCUUAUCAUUAUUAGAUUUGGGAGCCUCAACGUGUUAUAUAGACAAAGAUUUUGUUAAAAAAUAAGAGAACUUGUUACUUAAGAAAACUUAAUCCAUACAUGUAGAAGUCAUAGAUGGUCAUUUUUUGUCUCUUAAAAAUAUUAUCCAUGAAUUUUUUUUCUUUUACAUAUAGCAAUUAAUGAUUAUAAUAGUAUAAUAAUAUUUAAUAUAAUAAGAUCUCUCUUUAAUUUGAUUAUUUUAAAUUAUCAUGGUUAAAAAAGUAUAAUCUUUAAAUAGAUUAGAUUUCUUAUAAUCUUAAUUUUUUUUUUAAUUUAAUCUAAAAUUUGUUAGUUAAGUAAAAAUAUAUAAAUUUAGUAGUAAAUAUAAGAGUUUUUAUAUAUGCAACAAAAAAAAGAUCAACUUUUGCUAUAUAUAUCAUGCCUAAUUUUGAUGGUCAAAAGACAUCAAAUGGUAUUCCUAACUAGUAUGAAGAUUUUUAGGAUGUUUUUGAAAAAAAAAUUGUAGAUAUACUAUAAGAACAUCAAUCCUAUGAUUAUUCAAUUGAUUUUCAAGAAGGAAUUCAACCACCAUUCAGACCAAUCUAUAGCUUAUUGUGAAAUGAAUUGGCUAUAUUUAAAAAAUACAUUAAUAAUAACUUGACUUAAAACUUUAUAUGUCAUUCAAAAUCUCUAGCAAGAGCUCUUUUUUUAUUUGUGAAGAAAAAAUAUGGAUCUCUAUAGAUGUGCAUAGACUAUUAAGGACUUAAUAAGAUCACUAUCAAAAAUAGGUAUUUCCUAUCCUUGAUUUUAAGACUUCUUAACCAACUCAAACAAUCAAAGAUCUAUACAAAAAUAGAUCUAUGAAGAGUAUACAACUUGAUCCAAAUCAAAAAAAGAGAUAAGUAGAAGAUUACUUUUUGAACUAAGUAUGGAUAUUUUGAAUAUAAUGUCAUGCUUUUUGGACUUACAAAUACACUAGUUGCUUUUCAACAUUUCAUGAAUAUUAUUUUUUGUGAAUUCCUUAAUUAUUUGAUCAUUUGUUAUUUAGAUGACAUUCUAAUCUAUUCUAAAAAUAUAAAAAUAUGAACUUUAUGUUUGUUGUGUAUUACAAAAAUUUAGAAAUGCAUGAUUAUAUAUCAAAAUAACAAAUUUAAAAAAAUAUAUUCUAUACUAUUCAAGUUGAUUUCUUAGGAUACAUCAUUUUCAACAAAAGACUAAUCAUAGAUCCAAAGAAAGUUCAAACUACCACAGAUUAAAAGAUUGGAAGAACAAUAAGAGAUGUGCAAUGCUUUUUGAACUUUAUCAAUUACUAUUGGAUCUUUAUUAAGAACUGUCUCAAGUUGUAGUUCUACUUAUACAUUUGGCUUAUAAAGACAAAUUUAAGUAGAAUAAAGAAGCCAAAGUAUUGUUUGAUGUUUUAAAUAAAGAAAUUAUUUUUGUACCAAUCUUAUAUUGCAUCAAAUUUUUUAAGGCAUUUUUUAUGGAAAUAGAUGCAUCAAAUUUUGCCUUAGAUGCCAUAUUAUUAUAAAUGGGAGUAGAUGACAAAUUUUAUGCAAUAGCUUUUUAUUCUAAAAAAUUCUCAACAUCAAAGAUCAACUACAUAAUCUACAAUAAAGAACUUCUUGCAAUUAUGAAUUAUUUUUAGGAAUGACAUUAUUAUCUAGAAGGUACUUUUAAUCUAGUCACCAUAUAUACUGAUCACAAGAAGCUUUAGUAUUUCAUGUCAAUACAGAUGUUGAAUCAUUGCCAAGUUUAUUAGAGCAUGUCAUUAUCAAGAUUUGAUUUUAAGAUCAAAUAUCAAUUUAGAAAAUAACAAGAUUUAUUAGACACCUUUUUUAGAAGUUCUUAUAUGGCACCAAAAGAAAAAAAAAUGUAACUUUUGAUUAUCAAAGAAUCAUUCUCUUUAAGCCCGUGCAUUUUCAUCUUCAAGAAAUAAAAUCAAAAUUGAUCCUUGAUUCAACCUUUGUUAAGCAAAUUCAAUCAAGUAUGUCUUUUGAUCUUCUUGUUCAUGAUAUCAAGAAUGCUUUUUGUAAGUCUCAUGAUACUUUUAAGUUUAAAUUUAAAAAAAACCUACUAUAUUUCAAAAGUUGCCUAUAUCUUCUAGAAAACAAAGUACAAUUACGUGUUCUUCAAAUUCAUUACAACUUUCUUAUAACUAGAUAUUUUAGAUAUAAUAAAUCUUUGGAGCUAAUAUUUAGAGAUUUUUGGUAGCCGCAAAUGUAAAAAGUUGUGAAAGACUUUAUAUAAUCAUGUGAUAUUUAUUUAAGGUCAAAAAUUCUUCAUCAUCAAUCUUAUAGAUUUUUUCAAUUAUUGCAUAUAUUAAAACAACCAUGUUCUUAUAUUUCUAUAGAUUUUAUUAUAGAUUUUUUAAGUUCAAGUUCAUAUGAUUAUAUAUUCAUGAUUGUAGAUCAUUUCACCAAAAUAGCAUAUUUUAUACUAUAUACAAAAUUUAUUUUAGAUGAAAAAAUAACUAAGAUUUUCUUGAUAAUGUCUAUUACUAUCAUAAAUUGCCAAAAGAUAUUAUAUGAGAUAGAAGGAUACAAUUUAUAUCAAGAUUUUGAAAAAACUUUUUUAAAAUAUUAAAAGUGGAUAUAAAAUUAUCUUUGAUCUUUUUAUCUUCAAAUUAAUCGACGAAUAGAACAAGUGAAUUAAAUUUUGGAGUAAUAUUUGAGAUGUACCAUCAAUUAUCAUUAAGAUGAUUAGAUAACUCUUUUUCCAUUGGCAAAGUUUACAUAUAAUAUUUUGGUACAAUCUUCUACUUAAUCAAUACAUUUCUUUGUCAAUUAUAAUUAUCAUCUAUGAUUUAAUAGUUUUGACAUUUCAAAAGUUAAUAAUCCUACAACAAAAUAUUUGGCAAAUUAUUUGUCAUAGCUAUAUGCAAUAAUAAAGGUGCAAUUAAAAGAAGCUCAAGAAUGACAAAAAAUAAAUACACAUGCCUAUUGCAAAGAAAAACUAUAAUUCAAUGUGGAUGACAAGGUAUAAUUACUUUGUUACAGUAUGAAAACUACUUCUCCUUGUGACAAGUUGGACUAUCAUAGGCUUGAAUCUUUUCUUAUUUGAGAACAAAUCAAUCUAGUUUCUUAUUGAUUACAUCUACAGGAGUUAAUGAAAAUUUAUUCGAUAUUCCACAUAUCUCUUCUUAAGCCAUAUAAGACAAUAGAUAUUUUGAAAAGACACAAAUGCCACCUCCUUCUAUGAAAAGAAUAAUAAUCAAGAAUUCAAAAUAGAAGAAGUCUUAGAUUCAAGGUGGUACUAAAAUAGAUUAGAAUAUCUUAUUCAUUAGCAUAAAUAUGAUAUAAAUAAACGCACAUGGCAGCCAUCAAAGAAUUUUGUAAAUGUAGCAAAGAUAGUUGAGGCUUUUCAUUGACAACAUCCAUCAAAAUUAAGAUGAAGAAAAAUAAUUUUUAUGAAAGAUGAUGACUGCUCAUCAUAGAAUUUAUUUCUAAAAGAGGAAGUAAUGUCACAAACAUACAUAUUUACUCUAAUGAUUAUUUAUAUGAUUAGAUAGAAUUAGAUAAAAUUAGAUUAAUUUCAUAUUAUAAAGAUUUAAAUUAAAAUAGUAUCAAAGACAUAGUAGAUUAAAUUCAUUAACAAGUCUUGUUUCAAGACUUUUUAAUCUUCUUGUGAUUGGCAAUAGCCAAUUUAAUUGAAUAUUUUAUCAUUUUUAAGUAACAUAAGAAUAUAUUAAAUAUUCUUUCUUUGAGAUUAAUGUCCUUGAUACUAUUUUAAUUUGAAAGUUAAUAAACAUAUAGGUACUAGUUAAUAUUAAGCUUAUAACUAAGCAAGAAGUUUCUAUGUAUUCAGAUAUGUUGAAUCUAAAAUAAAUUAUUAUUUUUUUUAUUUUUUCUUUAGGUAAAAAUUCUUAUAUUGAUUUUUUCAUAUUUUACUUUUCUUCAUAGAUCAUAGUGACUUUAUUAAAAAAUACUUCUAUUUAUUUUCUUUAUAGACCAUGUCAAAGAUAAAGUAGGAUUUUUCUAUUCUUACAAAUAAUCCUAGAUGGUUGCAAUAUGUAAAUCCUAUUAAUGGAUCUUAAUUGGUGAAUUGAUUUAUAAUAUAAUUUUAAGAUAUUUUAAUUAUAGCAAAAUUUAGAUUAAAAUUCUAUUGCUUGUUUAAAUAUUUAUUACAAAUUAAAAGUGUUUUAAGGUUUCAAAAGACUUAUUAGAGAAAAUAUUAUAAAAAUGGAGUCAUAGUUAGUAUUAGAGGCAAUUAUCAUAGUUGAUUUAGUAAUUUUGCUUAAUAUUAAAUAUUAAUAUACCAUAUUGUACAAACCAAAAGGUGAGACUUAUCCAAUUUGUAACUAAGACAUUGCAAAUGCCCUAUUCUUAGCUUAUGGCACCUUUAGUAAACAAUUGUGUUUAUCCUGUUUUCAUGCUUUCAUAUUAAUAUUCCAUCUUGUUUUCACAACUAAGCACACCAAUCCACCAAACCUGGCUUCGAGUCAGCCUUGCCAAGCAAACAACUCCACCCAACUGAUUGCCCCCCUCCCUCUGAAUGAUCUGAACUUCUUAGACUUCAUAACAAAAAGGACUAUCACUGUAAAUACCUGCUGCCCUCUCAAAACAAGAGAUAGGUCCCACAACACGCAGUUUUCAAACCAACUACCUUAAUAAAUGGUUGUGAAUCCAACACAAGCAAAGGAAAGGCAUACCAAAUGCCAUGAUCAAACGCAUCCGAGAAGUACCACAAGGGCUUCGAAAUCAGAUGGAAAACCUAGCGGCAGAAAACAAAUCAGGUUCGAUGUAACGACCAGCAUGUGAUUGAACAUGUCCACUUAAUACGAUUGAUGUAACCAAAUGCUCCAUAAACAGUCAAUAAACUUGGUUAGACGGACACGCUAGUUGCAUAUCCUCGAAUUGCCCGCGGAUGAUGAUGUGCGCUGUGUGCAUCACUUGUGAUGUCGGAGGAAGGAGUGAGCGACUGCGGGAGGUGUUGGGGGCAACGGAGCGGUGUGGUUGAGCGGGUCACCUCAUGUGGAACGGGGUGUUGUCAACAGAGAGG
rnacentral:lncRNA from 1 species